rnacentral:rRNA from 1 species
GGAGGAAAAGAAACCAACAGGGAUUGCCCCAGUAACGGCGAGUGAAGCGGCAAAAGCUCAAAUUUGAAAUCUGGCUCCUUUAGGGGUCCGAGUUGUAAUUUGCAGAGGAUGCUUCGGGAGCGGCCACGGCUUAAGUGCCUUGGAACAGGACGUCAUAGAGGGUGAGAAUCCCGUCUUGGGUCGUUGGUCCGCGCCCAUGUGAAGCUCCUUCGACGAGUCGAGUUGUUUGGGAAUGCAGCUCUAAGCGGGUGGUAAAUUUCAUCUAAAGCUAAAUAUUGGCCGGAGACCGAUAGCGCACAAGUAGAGUGAUCGAAAGGUUAAAAGCACCUUGAAAAGGGAGUUAAACAGCACGUGAAAUUGUUGAAAGGGAAGCGCUUGCGGCCAGACUCGGGUACAGGGUUCAGCGGGUGCGUGUCACCCGUGCACUCCCUGUUUCCCGGGCCAGCAUCAGUUCUGACGGCCGGUCAAAGGCCCCUGGAAUGUGUCGUCUUUCGGGACGUCUUAUAGCCAGGGGUGCAAUGCGGCCCGUUGGGACUGAGGAACGCGCUCGGCUCGGAUGC